rnacentral:misc_RNA from 1 species
UACGGAGGGUGCAAGCGUUGUCCGGAAUCACUGGGUGUAAAGGGUGUGUAGGCGGGACUGUAAGUCAGAGGUGAAAUCCCACGGCUCAACCGUGGAACUGCCUUUGAUACUGCAGUUCUUGAGUAUCGGAGAGGUUGCUGGAAUUCGUGGUGUAGCGGUGAAAUGCGUAGAUAUCACGAGGAACACCAGAGGCGUAGGCGGGCAACUGGACGAUUACUGACGCUGAGGCACGAAAGCGUGGGGAGCAAACAGG